GAUGAACGCUGGCGGCGUGCCUAAUACAUGCAAGUCGAGCGAACAGACGAGGAGCUUGCUCCUCUGACGUUAGCGGCGGUCGGGUGAGUAACACGUGGAUAACCUACCUAUAAGACUGGGAUAACUUCGGGAAACCGGAGCUAAUACCGGAUAAUAUAUUGAACCGCAUGGUUCAAUAGUGAAAGACGGUUUUGCUGUCACUUAUAGAUGGAUCCGCGCCGCAUUAGCUAGUUGGUAAGGUAACGGCUUACCAAGGCGACGAUGCGUAGCCGACCUGAGAGGGUGAGCGGCCACACUGGAACUGAGACACGGUCCAGACUCCUACGGGAGGCAGCAGUAGGGAAUCUUCCGCAAUGGGCGAAAGCCUGACGGAGCAACGCCGCGUGAGUGAUGAAGGUCUUCGGAUCGUAAAACUCUGUUAUUAGUGAAGAACAAAUGUGUAAGUAACUAUGCACGUCUUGACGGUACCUAAUCAGAAAGCCACGGCUAACUACGUG
rnacentral:rRNA from 1 species